rnacentral:rRNA from 1 species
UACGAAGGGGGCUAGCGUUGCUCGGAAUUACUGGGCGUAAAGGGCGCGUAGGCGGAUAGUUUAGUCAGAGGUGAAAGCCCAGGGCUCAACCUUGGAAUUGCCUUUGAUACUGGCUAUCUUGAGUUCGGGAGAGGUGAGUGGAAUGCCGAGUGUAGAGGUGAAAUUCGUAGAUAUUCGCAAGAACACCAGUGGCGAAGGCGGCUCACUGGCCCGGUACUGACGCUGAGGUGCGAAAGCCAGGGGAGCGAACGGG